rnacentral:rRNA from 1 species
UACAGAGGUCCCAAGCGUUGUUCGGAUUCACUGGGCGUAAAGGGUGCGUAGGUGGCAGGGUAAGUUUGAUGUGAAAUCUCCGAGCUCAACUCGGAAACUGCAUUGAAUACUAUCCUGCUUGAGGAUUGGAGGGGAGACUGGAAUUCUCGGUGUAGCAGUGAAAUGCGUAGAUAUCGAGAGGAACACCAGUGGCGAAGGCGAGUCUCUAGACAGCUACUGACACUGAGGCGCGAAAGCUAGGGGAGCAAACAGG